rnacentral:rRNA from 1 species
GUGAGGAAUAUUGGACAAUGGAUGGAAAUCUGAUCCAGCCAUGCCGCGUGCAGGAAGAAUGUCCUAUGGAUUGUAAACUGCUUUUGUAUGGGAGCAAUAAGGUCUUCGUGAAGGCCGAUGAGAGUACCAUACGAAUAAGCACCGGCUAACUCCGUGCCAGCAGCCGCGGUAAUACGGAGGGUGCAAGCGUUAUCCGGAUUUAUUGGGUUUAAAGGGUGCGUAGGCGGUUAUAUAAGUCAGCGGUGAAAUUUUUCGGCUCAACCGGAAACAUGCCGUUGAUACUGUAUAGCUUGAAUAUGGUUGCUGUGAGUGGAAUGUGUAGUGUAGCGGUGAAAUGCUUAGAUAUUACACAGAAUAUCGAUUGCGAAGGCAACUCACAAAGCCAAUAUUGACGCUGAGGCACGAAAGUGUGGGGAUCAAACAGGAUUAGAAACCCUGGUAGUCC